AUUGAACGCUGGCGGCAUGCCUUACACAUGCAAGUCGAACGGUAACAGGUCUUCGGAUGCUGACGAGUGGCGAACGGGUGAGUAAUACAUCGGAACGUGCCUAGUAGUGGGGGAUAACUACUCGAAAGAGUGGCUAAUACCGCAUGAGAUCUACGGAUGAAAGCAGGGGAUCGCAAGACCUUGUGCUACUAGAGCGGCCGAUGGCAGAUUAGGUAGUUGGUGGGAUAAAAGCUUACCAAGCCGACUAUCUGUAGCUGGUCUGAGAGGACGAUCAGCCACACUGGGACUGAGACACGGCCCAGACUCCUACGGGAGGCAGCAGUGGGGAAUUUUGGACAAUGGGCGCAAGCCUGAUCCAGCAAUGCCGCGUGCAGGAUGAAGGCCUUCGGGUUGUAAACUACUUUUGUACGGAACGAAAAGCCCUGGGUUAAUACCCUGGGGUCAUGACGGUACCGUAAGAAUAAGCACCGGCUAACUACGUGCCAGCAGCCGCCGUAACAC
rnacentral:rRNA from 1 species